UACGAAGGGGGCUAGCGUUGCUCGGAAUUACUGGGCGUAAAGCGCACGUAGGCGGCUCGUUAAGUCAGGGGUGAAAUCCUGGAGCUCAACUCCAGAACUGCCUUUGAUACUGAAGAUCUUGAGUUCGGGAGAGGUGAGUGGAACUGCGAGUGUAGAGGUGAAAUUCGUAGAUAUUCGCAAGAACACCAGUGGCGAAGGCGGCUCACUGGCCCGAUACUGACGCUGAGGCACGAAAGCGUGGGGAGCAAACAGG
rnacentral:rRNA from 1 species